rnacentral:rRNA from 1 species
CCUACGGGAGGCAGCAGUGAGGAAUAUUGGUCAAUGGACGAGAGUCUGAACCAGCCAAGUAGCGUGAAGGAUGACUGCCCUAUGGGUUGUAAACUUCUUUUAUAUGGGAAUAAAAUGUUCCACGUGUGGGAUUUUGUAUGUACCAUAUGAAUAAGGAUCAGCUAACUCCGUGCCAGCAGCCGCGGUAAUACGGAGGAUCCGAGCGUUAUCCGGAUUUAUUGGGUUUAAAGGGAGCGUAGGUGGAUUGUUAAGUCAGUUGUGAAAGUUUGCGGCUCAACCGUAAAAUUGCAGUUGAAACUGGCAGUCUUGAGUACAGUAGAGGUGGGCGGAAUUCGUGGUGUAGCGGUGAAAUGCUUAGAUAUCACGAAGAACUCCGAUUGCGAAGGCAGUUCACUGGACUGCAACUGACACUGAGGCUCGAAAGUGUGGGUAUCAAACAGGAUUAGAUACCCGUGUAGUC